AAAAGACUGGCAAGCCAACUCUCAGAAGCAGAGAAAGCUCUACAUUAAUAAGCAACAAAAAAGAAAAGGAGAGAAAGGCACCAUCUGGCUUUGCCCUUCCCACAAAAAUGUCAGGCUCUUGCCUUGCUCUGGAAGUGUACAGAAGCUGCACAUCAGCACUGGGAGACUCAGGAGUGGGGUCCUGGGGAAUGCUUUUUUGAGUGAGCAACUUUCCAAGAGGAAAAACAUGGCCCAGGGCAGUUUUCUCACAGUAAGGAAUGUGGAAGGUUAACCCCAGAUGUUCCUCCAUCUCUACAAAGUAGCAGAUGGCAAAGUGCAACAUCAGGGGUGCAUUUGACUGCCUGAGGAGCUGAUCCUGGAAGAAAAACCUCUGAGACCUGUGCAGCAGUCCAGAGCUCUGCUUGCAGCCAGUUUGCAUCAGAACUCAUGGAAAUGGGUGCUGCGGCUGGUGUUGGAUUACCAAGUAUAUCCAGUUCAAAUAUCCUUAGAUCUGGGAAACCACCAGAGCAUCAUGACAGAAAUGCUGAUUGAUUUUGAACUCCUGCCAAACCAAAUUGUUAACAAAUUUUGGGGAAAAAAAUUGUCCGCAGAUUUUCAGCUCAUACACUCGUCCUUUAAUCUUGACCAAGGAUUCUUCAGAAACCAACAUGAAAACACAAGACUGAAACAAGCUUGGCUCUGGGUGCUCUGCCUGGUUCAGUGUUAAUGUUACUUUGUCUCCACAACUGAUUUAGGUGCAGUUUGAAUUGCUGGAUGUAUAUAUAAUUUAUGUUUCUAGAGGAAAACUUAACACAAGUCCCAAACAUUACUCUGCCACCAUUUUCUUUAUUUGGCAACUUUAAGAAGGUUCUCAGAAUUUUCCUCCAGUCUCUUGUCUGUUAGACACAGUUUCAUGCAGAGCUGUUAGCAAGUGUCUGGUAUCUAACAUCAUCCACAUGGAAAGUUUGCUUAAUACCAUCCAAAAUCUGUUUUUAUCCUAGGCUGAAAACACAUGCAUGCAGCAAAAUAGACUGCGGAAUUCCAAAAUAAGUUUAUUACACUACAGCUGUAGUUAGGUAAUUUUGCCCUAAGAUUAGAAAUUUUGAAAAACCUUCAAGAAACAACUAUUUUUUCUCUGUUGACGGCUCUUUACAGGCAUGGAUUUCUUCUUUCAUUUUGCCUAAUGAGAAUAUCCAUUAUUCUGCAUACAACCUGGAUGUGGUAGUUUUUUUUUAAUUUUCACUUUUACAGAUACCCAAACUUUGAGAAGUAAAAAUGUGAAAGUCAGUAUUCAUUAUUAUUCUUGAUUAAAAUCUUCAAGGCUUUUUCUUUUUGCCAAAUUAAAAAUUUCCAGCAAAAUGCAAAAAAAAAAAAAAAAAAAAAAAGCCACUUUAAAGCUUAAAAUACAGUACUUUCUUGUCCUUUCCUCAUUCUGUAUGGAACUUCUCUGUGCCAAAAAUGAAUUUAAUCUCCCCAAAGCCAAAACUUCAAGUCAGUUUUCAACCACAUUGCUCAAGAAACAGCAAAGACAGAAACAGAACAGCAUUUCAGUAGGCAGUUGCCAUCAGGACAUUGUGGCACACUCUAGUUUGUUGAAAAAAUAUAGUAUAAUAUCAAACGUAGGAAAAAUCUGUUUAGUUCCUAGGCUACAUGAAUUGCUGGAUUAGACAGUGCGAGUGAGAUGGAGGCUUCACUGUCUUUUCACAUUGCUUAUGUUGACUUCCACGUAACUGUGAACUUUUUACAAAAGUAGAUACAAUUAUCUAAACUUUGUCAUUUUUCUAGCUAUCGUAACACAUAUUUUGACUGAGAAUUUGAGCUGCAAGAACAGUCUACAUCAAAAGACAAGAAGGCUAUUUGGUCUGGUUCUAAGGAGACUGCUCUUGGAGCAAAUGCUUGUUCUCCCAUGUUUCUACUGAUCCUUAACCUUCCUGUUUGGUGUGUUGAGCAAAAAAGCACCCAACAUGGCUUUCAUCCAAAAAAAAGGUCUUUGGAAGUAUAUUGGUCUGUACAGCAGUUUGUUUUCACUGUGCUGAUGAUAGUUUAUAACUGCAUGUAGUUAAAACAUAGUUAAAAGCUCUUGAAGAUGGCAUCAUUCAAGACCCUUCCUUGUCAUGUUGGCAUCAGGCAUCUGCAGUAUGUUCUCUCGAACAGUUUGGUUUCCCACAAAAUAUUUCAUAUAUUUUC
ensembl:lncRNA